GAGUAACGCGUGAGGAACCUGCCUCAAAGAGGGGGACAACAGUUGGAAACGACUGCUAAUACCGCAUAAGCCCACGGCUCGGCAUCGAGCAGGGGGAAAAGGAGUAAUCCGCUUUGAGAUGGCCUCGCGUCCGAUUAGCUAGUUGGUGAGGUAACGGCCCACCAAGGCGACGAUCGGUAGCCGGACUGAGAGGUUGAACGGCCACAUUGGGACUGAGACACGGCCCAGACUCCUACGGGAGGCAGCAGUGGGGAAUAUUGCACAAUGGGGGAAACCCUGAUGCAGCGACGCCGCGUGGAGGAAGAAGGUCUUCGGAUUGUAAACUCCUGUUGUUGGGGAAGAUAAUGACGGUACCCAACAAGGAAGUGACGGCUAACUACGUGCCAGCAGCCGCGGUAAAACGUAGGUCACAAGCGUUGUCCGGAAUUACUGGGUGUAAAGGGAGCGCAGGCGGGAAGACAAGUUGGAAGUGAAAUCUAUGGGCUCAACCCAUAAACUGCUUUCAAAACUGUUUUUCUUGAGUAGUGCAGAGGUAGGCGGAAUUCCCGGUGUAGCGGUGGAAUGCGUAGAUAUCGGGAGGAACACCAGUGGCGAAGGCGGCCUACUGGGCACCAACUGACGCUGAGGCUCGAAAGUGUGGGUAGCAAACAGGAUUAGAUACCCUGGUAGUCCACACCGUAAACGAUGAUUACUAGGUGUUGGAGGAUUGACCCC
rnacentral:rRNA from 1 species